CGCACAUUGCGCCCCUCGGUAUUCCGUGGGGCAUGCCUGUUCGAGCGUCAUUUACACCCCUCAAGCUCUCCUGCUUGGUGUUGGGCGUCUGUCCCGCCUCCGCGCGUGGACUCGCCCCAAAGUCAUUGGCGGCGGUCGUGCCGGCUUCUCGCGCAGUACAGUGCGCUUCUUGAAGACCCGGUGGACCCCCAUCCAGCAAGCCUCUCACCAUGACUUGACCUCGGAUCAGGUAGGGAUACCCGCUGAACUUAA
rnacentral:misc_RNA from 1 species